CCGGCACUCCGGAGAUAGCCAUCGCGAUUCGUAUUCGCCGUGCGGGAUUGGGCACCGAAGUGGAUUGCCGUGGGCCAGGCUCAUUCCUAAGGUGGGGAUGAUGACUACCACGGGGCCAUUAGGCUCGGCAUCGGCCAGACAGCCUACGGGUGGGUCUCAGGGCCAUAGACAGCCUUCGGGUGGGUCUCUCCAGCAUUGACUUUG
rnacentral:lncRNA from 1 species